GAUGAACGCUGGCGGCGUGCCUAAUACAUGCAAGUCGAGCGAACAGACGAGGAGCUUGCGCCUCUGACGUUAGCGGCGGACGGGUGAGUAACACGUGGAUAACCUACCUAUAAGACUGGGAUAACUUCGGGAAACCGGAGCUAAUACCGGAUAAUAUAUUGAACCGCAUGGUUCAAUAGUGAAAGACGGUUUUGCUGUCACUUAUAGAUGGAUCCGCGCCGCAUUAGCUAGUUGGUAAGGUAACGGCUUACCAAGGCAACGAUGCGUAGCCGACCUGAGAGGGUGAUCGACCCCACUGGAGCUGGGCCACGGUCCCGACUCCUACGGGAGGCAGCAGUAGCGCCUCUUCCGCACUGCGCGGAGGCCUGGCGGAGCAACGCCGCGUGAGUGAUGCAGGUCUUCGGAUCGUACGACUCUGUUAUUAGGGAAGAACAAAUGUGUAAGUAACUAUGCACGUCUUGACGGUACCUACUCAGAAAGCCACGGCUAACUACGUG
rnacentral:rRNA from 1 species